rnacentral:rRNA from 1 species
UACGUAGGGUGCGAGCGUUAAUCGGAAUUACUGGGCGUAAAGCGUGCGCAGGCGGUUUUGUAAGCCAGAUGUGAAAUCCCCGGGCUUAACCUGGGAAUGGCAUUUGGGACUGCAAGGCUUGAGUUUGGCAGAGGAGACUGGAAUUCCUGGUGUAGCAGUGAAAUGCGUAGAUAUCAGGAGGAACACCGGUGGCGAAGGCGGGUCUCUGGACAGUUCCUGACACUGAGGCACGAAGGCCAGGGGAGCAAACGGG